UUUCAAAUUGAGAGUUUGAUCCUGGCUCAGGACGAACGCUGGCGGCGUGCCUAAUACAUGCAAGU
rnacentral:rRNA from 1 species